rnacentral:ncRNA from 1 species
CUCUCGAAAAGGCAACUCCAUCGCAAGGUGGGGCGAAAAGUCAAGCGUCUGCGCCGUGCAGAUAGACUGGCUGCCGAA